UACAGAGGUCUCAAGCGUUGUUCGGAUUCAUUGGGCGUAAAGGGUGUGUAGGUGGCGCGCUAAGUCGGGUGUGAAAUUUCGGAGCUUAACUCCGAAACUGCAUUCGAUACUGGCGUGCUUGAGGACUGGAGAGGAGACUGGAAUUCAUGGUGUAGCAGUGAAAUGCGUAGAGAUCAUGAGGAAGACCAGUGGCGAAGGCGGGUCUCUAGACAGUUCCUGACACUGAGACACGAAGGCCAGGGGAGCAAACGGG
rnacentral:rRNA from 1 species